rnacentral:lncRNA from 1 species
GAGAAAGGGCUUAUACCCAGUCUCUGACCUUGAACUGCCUUCUCUGUCAGCAUUCCCGGAACUUACGGCUGGGUGGGUUUCUGGGAAAGGCACUACAAGUUGAAAUGAGGGGCUAAAGAAUGGAUUCCUCACUUUUCCCAGUGGAACUAUUGUACACACGAAAGCAGAUGCCAUUGCUGACCCGAGCCUGUUCUUCUAGAAAGAGUGAUGUCAUGGACCGUGUGACUGAUGGACUUGCCAGCGGGAGGCGUCGUGUUGCAGACGUGUCUGGGAGAACGGUGAAGAGCCUUCAGACGCCGACCUCCACCCUCGGCAUGUACGGAAAGAGCUGUAGAAGUGGGUGGAGAAAGAGAUUUAUUUUGCUAAAGAAAAUCAAGGAAAGCAUUCUCUCUCCUGGCCAGACAGUGGACUAAUGGUCAGAAGGUAUGAGUUCUACCUCCUUCUGUGGAUAGCAUGUCUCUGACCUGUUGUCCUAUCAGGAAAAUGGGGGAAAUGACACAUAUCCUUUUUUUUCUCCUAG